UACAGAGGGUGCGAGCGUUAUUCGGAAUUAUUGGGCGUAAAGGGCGCGUAGGCGGCUUUGCAAGCGACGGGUGAAAUCCCUCGGCUUAACCGAGGAACUGCCUGUCGAACUGCUUUGCUUGAGGCCGGGAGAGGUGAGUGGAAUUCCCAGUGUAGCGGUGAAAUGCGUAGAUAUUGGGAGGAACACCAGUGGCGAAGGCGGCUCACUGGACCGGUUCUGACGCUGAGGCGCGAGAGCCAGGGGAGCAAACGGG
rnacentral:rRNA from 1 species